rnacentral:ncRNA from 1 species
UGAGAAGCGGGAGAUGGCAUGCCUCCCCGAACCGCCGCGCAAGCAGCUGAUGAUGCCUACAAGUUC